rnacentral:lncRNA from 9 species
GAGACGUGUGAGCAGGUGCUCUAGAGCACUGGCUCUCCCUGACAGGUCACCAUCAGGGCUGCUUUAUAGAGUUCUCCACAGGCAGUCGGGGAGGGGGCGGAGUUCUCGGGCGUCUGCGCAGGCGCGUUGCUUGGUGUUCUAGGUCGCCAUGUUGGGCGGAGCGCUUCUGCUCACGCCCGGCCGUCGCCAUCUUGAGCUGGGGUGUCGUCGCAGCCAUUUCUCAUCAGGACCUCUGUUCUGAAGUGCUUGGUGCCAGACCUCUGCCACAUCCCCAGGCUAAAACUUGCUUGUGCUUUGAAGAGAAGUGGUCUUUUUAAGGUCAAUAGCCUUGGGCCAGAAAUGAAUUCUCAAGCAGAGGCCUCAGCAGGUGAUGAGAAAGGCAUGAGAACAGGCUGGAAGGAGAAUGAGGCACCGAGAGGCCCAAGCUGAAAGAAAUAAAGACUUCCAGUACAUCACCCUGACAGUAAAGAGCGAAGGAAAAGUGACGUCUGAGAACUGCAAUGUGCUCUGCUUGAAGAAAAGGAAGUUGGGUUGUGAUAAUAUAAUUCUGGAUUCCAUGGAAUGUUGUGGCUCAUGGAAGAGGCAAGAGAUAAAAGACAGAGAAACAAUAUAGUGGUAAGUUUCAGGGGUUUUAUUUUAUAUUAAAACAUCAUUUUGUGACAAAUAUGGACAGAAUGUGCAUAAGAGUAUUAUAUUUCUGCGCAUCAAAAUGGAAACAUGCUUACUAGGCUGUACUUUGUAUUAUCUGAAAAAUACCAAGUGCUCUUCAUUGUAGCCUUUGUCCUAAAAGGCUUGCAAAAAAUAAUUCCAGAAAAGGUGCGCUGGCAAUCAACAGCUGGUUAGCUAGAGGGAAAUAAAUAGCCCUCCUGAUGAAAAUACCUGAGAAGCCUCUUUACCGGCAGAACAUAUGUCCAUGCCCCAUUGCUCUGUGUCCAAACAUGUUUCUUCAAUUACGGAUCAGGGUGUGUGAGUUAGAGAGCCAUGGAUCCAUAGGCCAGACAUAAUUUAUGUAGAUUUGCCCAAGUUUAUAUGUUAUUCAACACAAAAUCAGCCACCAUAGCAACCUCAGGAUCACAAAAUGCUUAUGGUACCUCUGAGAGACACAUCAUCAUCUUGCAAAGAUGUUGAAUUGCAUGAAUGUUCCCAUGGCCACAUAGCUCAUCUUUGCCCUGUGUGAACUGGAGAGGUGCAAGGCUAAAGUGCUUCUUUUUGGUGUGAUCGUAAUGUCCCAUUAAUGUGUCCUGUAUGUUAAGUAUCGUGGCUAGCUGGAGGAUUUUCUCCUCUCUCAUGAUUUGCUUUUCAUUUUCAUUUCCUUGAUGAUUUGAAAAUUUGUUUUCUAAGGUUCCUCAGACAAGGCCUAAAGGCACUAUACUGGUCCUGGCUUCCUUUGCUGCCAAAGUGCAGACCCUCUGCAGUGUGACAGAACAAGGCUUUUGAGCUGCUAACUGGUGAGGGAUAUAGUAAUGAGCUCCAGCUGUGGAGUGCAGGCUCUGAGGAAUUGGAGGGGAGCCCAAAAGGAGAGGCUCUGGUUGAUUCUGGGAAGCUUGUCUUUUGGUACCCUGCUUGUCAGCUAGUGUCCCUGCUUCUGAAGAUCCAUAGGGACUUGGAAAUAUCCUUCAUGUGCUGGACAUGGCAGACUCACAGCCCAUAGGUCUUGGCUUUUACCUAUUUAAGGCACCCAAGUAGAGUGCAGAUAACUCCGAUCUCUGAAAAACAAAUAAAAAUCCCUGAUGUGUGGGGGCUGCAGAUUUGUAGGGUCUGCAAAUAUUUCCACUGCAGCCCAAUUUCAAACUACCAACAGCUUAACAACUGGCCCACAGAACUGCUGGAAAUUUAACAAAUGGUCCCAGUACACUGAUUAUCUCAUUUGCUAUCUAUAGCUGACCUCGUGAUCUCAUGGAUAGGUUGGUGUCCUCAACCCCAUUUAAAAGAAGAGGAAAUAGGCCCAGAGAAUUUAAUACAGGGCUUCUCAGAUUUUACUGUGCAUAUGAAUCACCUGGGGACCUUGUUAAAGGGGGAACCUGUGAUUCUGCAUUUUUAACAAGCUCCCAUGUGACAAAUUUCCACAGUUUAUUAAAGGUGUAGUCAACUUUCUAGAAAAGAAGGGGAGGAAGCUAAAAGAUGGUCUAUCACAAGUCACACUCUUCCCCUUUCCUCCAAACCACACAUUUUGAUUCCUCAAUCAAUUCCACUACUGGAAUGUUCAGGGGUCCUACUGAGACCUCCCAGUGGUCACUUGCAAAGGACUGUAGGAAACAGCAUAGUCCACCAUUUCAGGCAGAGGGGGAGCUGCUUUUCUCUCUGGGGCUCACAGGUUAGUAACAUGCCACAAGGCAGAACUGAUUGAUUGAGGGCUGCAGGAAGGCCUUUCACAAUAGUCAAUCCUAAUCUUACUAAACAGUCCCUCUCUUUCCUUGAUUGGGUUACAGCACCUCUAGGAAUUUUCUCAAAUCCUGUAUUUUCGCUCCUCUCUAAAUCUUAGAGGAAAACCUGUUGCAGCCUACUGUAGAGGAGCCAAAAAUUGAUGCUAUUUUCUACUCACCUGACAGUUAACAAACUUAGGUGCUAAAACCAGCAACCCAGAAAACAGUUACAAAUGAGCCAAUAUGGGUACUGUUUUCACUCAAAUUUAUCACCUAAUAAUGAAGAUUUGGAAGGACUGGAGAGAUGACUAAGAAACUCAGGCUAAGGGGACUCUGUGCCUAGAAUGGUGCUGGAUUCUGAGAAGUACAGAGGACAGUUUUCCUGACCUCAGAAAGCCUGAAAUC